rnacentral:misc_RNA from 1 species
CUUCCUGCUGCUUCCAUGUGAAUAUGCGGCCUACUUCACAAGGGUUAGACUAGGAGUAACCAAUCCAAAGGGCUUGGAUUGAAUUGGUUCGGCCCAAUUUGCAAGGCACUUGUAGAAGCGCAAGCAUUCCGCCCGCGCGCCAGCGUUAAAGAUACAAAAGCAAACAGAAACAGCGACCGGCAAGCAAAUCUAACAACUCCAACUGCGGUUGCAGCUCUCUUGUCUGUUUUAACCUCCAAGCAAAUUCCGCCGUUUGAAAUAAGAGUAACUCUGCUGAGUCUUAACAAAUAGAGGUAUAGUUUCUUAUUAAUUCAAUUCUCAGUCUUAGCGAAACAGUUUCUUUUCUUCCUUCAGUCAUUUUAACAAACAUCUUGUGCUCCAGGCACUGACCAUAUAUUUAUGCUUCGUUGCUUUGCUUUAAAAGUUCAAUCAAGCAAUAGAAAUGCGUUCAAUUAGAAUUAUAACUUCAAACUUAAGGAAAUUUUCGAUUCUAGCUUCUACCCGUCUCAUUUCAUCACACAAAAGGCCAACCCACAUUGCAAUUUCAACCGUUGAAACCACUGUGACGUGGCCUUUUGAUUCCAAGUUUUCAGUCGCUUUCUCUUCUUUCUCUUCCUCAGAUCUUGAAAUCCCAAUUGCACAUAAAAUUUCCAUUAGCCAAGGGGAAUGUUCCAGUGACAGUGAUCUUAGUGACUCCAAUGAUGAUGAUGACAUUACACAGUUGAAUUUGAGAGAUGCUGGUUUUGUUAAAGACGUAAUGACCAUUGUGAAUAUAUUGAAUCAACUGGGUGACAAUCGUGUGGAAAUGAAGAACAAGAUUGAGCAAUGUGGCGUUAAGGUCUCACAGGAGUUGGUACUGGAGGUACUGUCUAGAGUGAGAAAUGAUUGGGAGGCAGCAUUUACUUUCUUUCUGUGGGCUGGUAAGCAGCCAGGUUAUGUCCAUGCCGUGCGUGAAUAUCAUUCUAUGAUUUCUAUGCUUGGUAAAAUGAGAAAGUUCGACACUGCAUGGUCAUUGAUCGAUGAGAUGAGAGGGGUUAAGACCGGUGUUUCUCUUGUUGCACCACAGACUUUGCUUAUUAUGAUUAGAAGAUAUUGUGCAGCGCAUGAUGUUGGUAGGGCUAUAAACACUUUUCAUGCAUUUAAGCAGUUUAAAUUUGAUGUGGGUAUUGAGGAGUUUCAAAGUCUUUUAUCUGCUCUUUGCCGCUACAAGAAUGUGCAGGAUGCUGAGCACUUGAUAUUUUCUCAGAAAGAUGUCUUCCCAUUUAACACAAAGAGUUUUAAUAUUGUGCUUAAUGGGUGGUGUAAUGUGAUUGGUAGUCCUCGUCAAUCAGACAGAAUAUGGAGGGAAAUGUGCAGGAGGGGUAUUCGAUAUGAUGCUGUGUCUUAUGCGAGUAUCAUAACUUGCUAUUCAAAGGCAGGUAAUCUUUAUAAGGUGCUCAAGCUGUACAACCAGAUGAAUGAGAUGAGGAUUGAACCAGAUAGGAAAGUUUACAAUGCUGUAAUCCAUGCUCUUGCAAAAGCUGGACACGUGAAGGAAGCUAUCAAUCUCAUGAAAACAAUGGAAGAUAAAGGUAUUGCACCUAAUACUGUCACUUACAAUUCACUGAUCAAACCUUUAUGCAAGGCAAGAAAAGUAGAUGAGGCCAGAGGAGUCUUUGAUGAGAUGUUACAGCGUGGCCACACUCCAACUAUACAAACUUAUCAUGCCUUCUUUCGUGUUCUAAGGACAGGGGAAGAAGUUUUUGCACUCUUGGAGAAGAUGAGAAAGAUGGGUUGCCAGCCAAUUACUGAUACCUAUGUCAUGUUGAUUAGAAAAUUUUGUAGAUGGCGGCAGUUUGAUGAUGUCUUUAAGUUGUGGAAUGAAAUGAGUGAGAAUGGGAUAGGUCCUGAUCGUAGCUCAUAUAUUGUGCUGAUACAUGGGCUCUUCUUAAAUGGAAAGUUGGAGGCAGCCUACAAAUAUUACACAGAUAUGAAACAAAAACAAUUAUUGCCAGAACCAAAGAUAGAUGAGAUGCUCCGUACUUGGUUAUCGAAUAAACAAAUAGCUGAAUGUCAGAUGACAGAAUCAAAAGGUGAUCAAUCGAAUUUUAGUCAAUUAGGUGAGCAAAACGGAGCCAUCCCUAAGAGAAUUAAUUAUGAGAAAGAUUUUAUCUGACAAGCUGAAAAUAGAACAGUUGUGAGAUUGCGAGGAUUUUCCUUUUGGGAGCAACAGGUUCUCAUGUGAUAUUAAAUCUCAACAGCAGGUGGUUUGUGUAUUUAACAACCUACAGCAUCAAAUGCUUCCUGAACACAUACAGGUGCACUAAAGUUUCUGUUCUAAUUUAUGAAUAAAAGAUGCCCUUAGGUUAUUCAAUUAUUAAAGAACUUAUGCCUUUUGAAUCGUAUUAUUUAUAUAACUUUCUUUUUGUAAUAUGUUUUCAUAAAUCAUAGUAUACAAGAUAUUUGGU